GACAGAGGCUGCACUCCGUAGCUCCGAGCAGAAGGAAAGCCAAAAUGACUUCAGUGACAGCUCAGAUAUCCCACAGAAUGACUAGUAAGUAGUCAAA
rnacentral:lncRNA from 1 species